CAAGCGGUGGAGCAUGUGGUUUAAUUCGAUGCAACGCGAAGAACCUUACCUACUCUUGACAUCCACGGAAUUCGGCAGAGAUGCCUUAGUGCCUUCGGGAACCGUGAGACAGGUGCUGCAUGGCUGUCGUCAGCUCGUGUUGUGAAAUGUUGGGUUAAGUCCCGCAACGAGCGCAACCCUUAUCCUUUGUUGCCAGCGAUACGGUCGGGGACUCAAAGGAGACUGCCGGUGAUAAACCGGAGGAAGGUGGGAAUGACGUCAAGUCAUCAUGGCCCUUACGAGUAGGGCUACACACGUGCUACAAUGGCGCAUACAAAGAGAAGCGACCUCGCGAGAGCAAGCGGACCUCAGAAAGUGCGUCGUAGUCCGGAUCGGAGUCUGCAACUCGACUCCGUGAAGUCGGAAUCGCUAGUAAUCGUGGAUCAGAAUGCCACGGUGAAUACGUUCCCGGGCCUUGUACACACC
rnacentral:rRNA from 1 species